rnacentral:rRNA from 1 species
UACGUAGGGGGCUAGCGUUGUCCGGAUUUAUUGGGCGUAAAGAGCGUGUAGGCGGCCAGGUAGGUCUGGUGUGAAAACUCGAGGCUUAACCUCGAGAUGUCAUCGGAAACCAUCUGGCUAGAGUCCGGAAGAGGAGAGUGGAAUUCCUGGUGUAGCGGUGAAAUGCGCAGAUAUCAGGAAGAACACCCGUGGCGAAAGCGGCUCUCUGGGACGGUACUGACGCUGAGACGCGAAAGCGUGGGGAGCGAACAGG